GAAAGCUGAGUGGUCGACACGCGUCAGAGGGUUCUCGGGGCGCGUCGGAGGGUUCCCGAGGCCGGUGAAGCCGGCGGAGGUCACCUCCGCCAGUCGACGCCUCAACCGGGCGUUAGCCUCAGGCUUCACGGAAGUGAAAGCGAGCCAAGAGUAAGACAAAAACCAGUACAAAUAAAUCCCCAAGUCAAAACAGCUACAGUCGAAUUUAAGGAAAGCAAAGAUUCUCUCUUUAGAGGCUUCUGAAAUGUUCAAUUCAGUGGUCCCCAAAUUUGCCGCCCACUGGAAUCACCUGGUCAUCUUUAAAAACUACUGAUGCCUGGCUCCCGUCUCGCAGUAUUGUAAUUUACCAGGUGUAUUGACUUUUAAAGGAUGUUUGUGGUUUCAGAGAAACCCCAGGACACACAGAGAAACUUGAAAUUUCCAAGGAUGUGAACUGCAAGACAACCGUUGCUUAUCAGAUCUUGUCCUUGACAUUAUGGACAAGCUUCUUUCAAAGAAAGCUCUUUACCCAUGGGGAUAAGGGAGUUGAUGGAUAUAAGAAUCAUUUCUGGACUGUCACACACAGGCCAUGCAACCUCACCAAAUAAAUAGUUCUUUGUAUAAAGAAAAAAAGAACUGUUGUCAUGAUGGGAAAGAGGAUAGGAAAAGACUCAGAUGUCCCAAAUGGAAUUACAACUCAUUCAUUUGAAUGGAAUAUUUGAAAAAUAAAAUAGGGGUAUUUAAGCACAGUCCACGGGGAUUAUAAAUUAUGGGCAGUGUGUUCCUUAUUUAGAAUGUUUAGGGAG